GCCAGUUACCGCCAUAGACUGUGGUUACCGCCCAAAACUGGUGUCAGUGUGACUACAAAGCUUCUUGUGUUGUUGUCUGGAGUGGAGUGUGAUGCUCCAGAAGAGCGAAUACGCCCUAAAGCUCCAAAACUGCAUGCUUCGAAUAGGCUGCAGCUUUCCUUCCCCCUUGGAAUUUUUCUCCUUCUCUUUGGGCCGAUGAACUUGGCGAAGAUCUGACUUGCUGGAUCGCAUUCUGAGUUUUCCAGUUCUUUUCCCUCUCUCUCGGUUCCAGAGGUCUCCUACUGUCCUGGGCCACACGAGUACACAGCUCAGGGUAAUCCAGACACACAGCACGCAGCAACCAUCGAAGGCCACGCAGGGUCUUUCUGUCCGACCAGCGUCGCAGGUCCAUUAAGGCUGAGCAAGGCUCCUGUGAUGAGGGGAACAAGGAGAUCAGCAAGAUUUUCCUUGACCUCUUUUAUCCUCUGCCUGUCACUGGAGUCCACCACAAAGAUGAUCCCAUGGGCCUCCCCGCUGAGCUCCCUCCAGACUCCUCUCGACUCUGCUGAUCCUCCAACAUCCAGCAGGUUGACCAGGUAGUUCUCCACUCUGAGCUCAUGUCUGAUGCAGCCAUGGGUGGGUCCUCCUUCGACACCAUGAGGUCAACACAACAAGGAGAAGUAUAGCCUGCUGGUGGAAACUAAAAAUGGAAGCGCCAAGAAACUGAUCCCUCCAUGCUCGCCCUCUACAGUGCAUCCAUUUGGACAGGACGGAUACUGUAUGUAAUAAAAACUGCAGUGCUUUUUUUUUUUUCAAUGAAAUAGCAGUGCAGAGAUAAUGAAAUGUAAAACUAACAAAACUUUAUUUUUCCUCCAGAUAUUUGUUUUUAUUUAAGAUGGAUUGAACAGCAUCUGAGAUAGCAGUAGGAAGAGGUAUUAAUAGUAGUUGUAUAUUGACAUCUCCAUUGAAUGGACUCAAUGUGGGCUGCUUAAAAUAACACAAACAAGCACAGGAUAUGUUGAUACACUUUUCUAGCAUGCCUCAAACUUAAAGCACUGUUUCUAUUCAAGUUUGACCUUUCUGUUUACUUUAUUUACUUGUUCGUUCAUUAUGUUUUAAAGGUUAGAUGAGACGACAGAUACUUCUGUAAUGUAUGUUAUUAUUAUGCUAACAGCUCGUUAACUUUGCUAAGUGAAAAGUCCAGAAACAGCUUUUCAGGCUCUAUCCAAACAAAUGCAGACUGGUCAGCACAUCAAUAAGGAAUACACCUUUUCCCUGUUUGAUUGAUCUGUUAUUGAAGUAAGAGUUUAAUGUUGGGUGAUAAACAACCUGCUGAGACUCCACUGCAACCUUCAAAAAAACAGUCCAACAUAUAACCAUAUAACACAUUGUACUUUCACUCUUAGCGACUGUAAAAGUAAAACAAAGGAGUUAUUCAUCAACCUUAACUCAUGAUUGUAGGCAAAUGUUCUUGUUUUAUUUACCAAGCUAGCUAAUCCCCUCUGCCUCUAGUCUUUUUGCUAAGCUAAGAUAACCAAUUCAACUUUAUGUAUCUCAUUAUCUAGAUGUAACAUUGGUGAUACUAUCUUGAGAUAACAAGGCAAAUAAAUAGACAUCUCGAGAACAAGACCACAAUUGCAUGUCAUCAAAGAAUAUGGGGUAAAAAAUGUACGGAGGCAUGUCUACUGUGUUCACAGUAUUUACCAAUCAGUGUUUACUUUUGUGUUUGUUAUUUAAAACGUACAUAAGAAGGACUUUCUGAAUGGAGUGAAUACACCUUCUGUUCAGUUUCUGUAUUGCUUGUAAUCAUGGAUGUGUUAAGUCAUACUCAGAAUCGAUCAGACUAUAUUUGUAAACCGCUUUUCAGAGAUUGAUAUUAUAAAACAAGCUGUACAUAAAAAAAGGGUAAAAAUAGAAUAAAUUAUAAAUACAAAAGGAAUAAGAAACCCCCAUCCCAUUCCCAACCCCACAAUCUAUCUAUCUAUCUAAUAUGUAAGGUUAAGAACAUGAUAUAUGCAAAAA